rfam:Schistosoma curassoni strain Dakar, Senegal genome assembly, scaffold: SCTD_scaffold0012002
AUCCAGCUGACGAGUCCAAAACAGGACGAAACGCGCGUUCUAGAU